rnacentral:lncRNA from 1 species
GGGAGUUAUAACCUCACAAUGAAAUCAAACUUAAAAUAGUUAAUUCAAAGAAUUCUUAAGAAGAAAAUAUUCAGCCAUAAUAUAUGAAAUACAGUGCAUGUAUGUUUAAAGCAUUUUGUAGGAUCAAAAUGAAAUAUUGAUUUCUCUAUAUUGCUGUGUGGGGUUGACGGAAACUUUUUUGGUUCUCCCGGAAGAAAAAUUCUGAAGUUCUAAUCACACAUCUACUUUGUUUAUUUUAGGUAAAGAUGAUAUAAUUGGUCGUGAUCUCAAUGACCUAGAAUGCUCGAGAAAAUCGUGCAACUUUGGAUGUACACUUAGUUACUGUGAUAGAGUUACACUUAUUUAAAGAAACUUUGAAUACAUAUCCGGAUUUUUCAAAAGAAUUCAAGGAUAAAAUACAAGUGACAUUCAGUCUUAAGCGGAUGCUGAAGUGUUUCUUCGUUUGACACCAUCUCGACAAGUGGGCGAUCUACCUGCUAGCACGGGACCGCAGUAAGGUGAAGGAUGGUUAGAUACUGCAGCCACGAGAAUCAAUGAAGCUUACGUUGCCAACGCUACAGAUAGUGGACCCAGCAUAAAGACGUAUUACAUCACAGCGUUAUAUUUUACGUUUACGUCACUGACGUCAAAAGGAUUCGGAAACGUGUCACCAAAUACUAAUGGAAUUGACAUGCCGGUAAAGAUGAUAUAUUUGGUGGUGACUGCAUUGACGUGGAAUGCUCGGGAAAAUCGUUCUAUUUUGUACGUGCCUUUAGUUACUGUGAUAUUGACAAGAUAGAGUUACACGUGCUGAAAGAAACAAUGGAUAUAUAACCAGAAUUUUCAAAAAGAAUGAAUGGGUAAAAUACAAGUGACAUUCAAUCUUAAGCUCGACGAAUGGGACCACAGAUCGGAGAAGAUGAGCCGACGUCUGGAGCAUUCGAAUUUUCUCCGCUACCAGCAAGUAGUGGUAUAGAUACGGCGUUCAAAGACAGAUCAGUGUAAAGUAUAGACUUUUUUACAAUCAUUUACAUUAAUCAAAGUCUUUCAUAAUAUUAAUGAUAUAUUUAAGCGUUGGUUAUAUACAAAACAUUUGGAAUUUUCAAAAUUUUCUCAGUUGAAACACUGUGAACGAUAUAGCCACAACUGUUUU